AGAGUUUGAUCCUGGCUCAGGAUGAACGCUGGCGGCGUGCUUAACACAUGCAAGUCGAACGAAGCGCGCGGAAGGAAGGCCUUCGGGCCGGAGAGCCGCGGGACUGAGUGGCGGACGGGUGAGUAACGCGUGGGCAACCUGCCCCGUACAGGGGGAUAACAGCCGGAAACGGCUGCUAAUACCGCAUAAGCGCACAGCGCCGCAUGGCGCGGUGUGAAAAGCUCCGGCGGUACGGGAGGGGCCCGCGUUUGAUUAGGCAGUUGGCGGGGCAGCGGCCCACCAAACCGACGAUCAGUAGCCGGCCUGAGAGGGCGGCCGGCCACAUUGGGACUGAGACACGGCCCAAACUCCUGCGGGAGGCAGCAGUGGGGAAUAUUGCACAAUGGGGGAAACCCUGAUGCAGCGACGCCGCGUGAGCGAAGAAGUAUUUCGGUAUGUAAAGCUCUAUCAGCAGGGAAGAAAAAAAUGACGGUACCUGAGUAAGAAGCACCGGCUAAAUACGUGCCAGCAGCCGCGGUAAUACGUAUGGUGCAAGCGUUAUCCGGAUUUACUGGGUGUAAAGGGAGCGUAGGCGGCGCGUUAAGUCUGAUGUGAAAACCCGAGGCUCAACCACGGGAGUGCAUUGGAAACUGGCGUGCUGGAGU
rnacentral:rRNA from 1 species